CCUACGGGAGGCAGCAGUGAGGAAUAUUGGUCAAUGGUCGCGAGCCUGAACCAGCCAAGUAGCGUGAAGGAUGACUGCCCUACGUGUUGUAAACUUCUUUUAUCAAGGAAUAAAGUGAGGCACGUGUGCCUGUUUGUGUGUACUUUAUGAAUAAGGAUCGGCUAACUCCGUGCCAGCAGCCGCGGUAAUACGGAGGAUCCGAGCGUUCUCCGGAUUUAUUGGGUUUAAAGGGAGCGUAGAUGGGUUGUUAAGUCAGUUGUGAAAGUUUGCGGCUCAACCCUAAAAUUGCAAUUGAUACUGGCAGUCUCGAGUAGAGUUGAGGUAGGCGGAAUUCGUGGUGUAGCGGUGAAAUGCUUAGAUAUCACGAAGAACUCCGAUUGCGAAGGCAGCUUACCAACUUCCCACUGACAUUGAUGCUCGAAAGUGUGGGUAUCAAACAGGAUUAGAUACCCGAGUAGUC
rnacentral:rRNA from 1 species